GGACGAACGCUGGCGGCGUGCCUAAUACAUGCAAGUCGAACGCAUUUUCUUUCACCGUAGCUUGCUACACCGAAAGAAAAUGAGUGGCGAACGGGUGAGUAACACGUGGGUAACCUGCCCAUCAGCGGGGGAUAACACUUGGAAACAGGUGCUAAUACCGCAUAAUUCCAUUUACCGCAUGGUAGAUGGAUGAAAGGCGCUUUUGCGUCACUGAUGGAUGGACCCGCGGUGCAUUAGCUAGUUGGUGGGGUAACGGCCUACCAAGGCUGCGAUGCAUAGCCGACCUGAGAGGGUGAUCGGCCACACUGGGACUGAGACACGGCCCAGACUCCUACGGGAGGCAGCAGUAGGGAAUCUUCGGCAAUGGACGCAAGUCUGACCGAGCAACGCCGCGUGAGUGAAGAAGGUUUUCGGAUCGUAAAACUCUGUUGUUAGAGAAGAACAAGGAUGAGAGUGGAAAGUUCAUCCCUUGACGGUAUCUAACCAGAAAGCCACGGCUAACUACGUG
rnacentral:rRNA from 1 species